rnacentral:lncRNA from 1 species
CUGAUUCUCUUCUAUACAGUUUAACAAAUCAAGUUUAUGUGAGCUCAUUUACUUAUAGACAUUGGCUGGAGUCCAAUGACACUGGUCUGCGACUAUGGGUCCCAUGAAGCUCAUUAUAUCUGUGGUCUGUGGCUUUCUAUGGCUAACAAUUAGCUCCCAGAAACAAUGCAAACUGCCAUUUCCACUCUGGUCAUGGUUACCAUGGGGAUCACCUUAUGGUUCUUUGCAGGAUCUAACUACAGUGCUUUUGCUAAUGGCCCACAGCCUUGACUCUUGGGAGACUAGAAGCAUUAGGAAAUCAAAGCACAUGACCAGAGGCAAGACAGGCCUGGAAGCCAAAACUACAGAUGAAGUUGAGGAUCUGAAGGAAGACAACAGUCAGGCCUCAGAGCUAAGGGUUCAAAGAGCAAACUCAGGGCCAGGGAUAUAGCUCAGUGGCACAAGUGCCUGCCUGGCAAGCACAAAGUCUUGCGUUCAAUUCCCAAUACAAAAAAAAAAGAGCAAACCAGAUAACUACCAAGAAGAAACCAUGACAGGGUAUUAGGGCAUCAAAGAUAUCCAAAGCAAGAAAUCUUGUCUGAGCCAUAUGCUAAAAGAGUAGAAUAGAUCUACUCCAAGUCAGCAAAUAAUGAGUCAAAAGUGAAUGAACAAAUUAGGAAGCUGAGAGACAUCAAGAAGAAAAUUAAACCAAGCAUGGUGGCCCACAUCUGUAAUCCCAGCACUCCAGUGGCUAAGGCAGGAGGAUUGCCACAAGUUCAAGGUGAGCCUGGGCUACGUAGUGAGUUCAAAGCCAGCAUGAACUAAAACUACAUGGUGAGACCCUGUCUCAAAAAAACAAACAACCAAAAAAGAAAAUAAAGUAAAAUCUCAGUAACUUCUCCCCUAAAAUACCUCUACCAUGUGUCUCAGGCUGCGCCUAUCACAAGCCACAAUGGAGUCUGUGGAAAAUUUCUGAUGGAGAUGUCCAUUUCUUUUUCCUGAGAAAGGUUUCCUGAAACUAAAAGAACAAUGAAAGAAUAAAAGUUCCCAUAAAUCAGUUUCAAACCUAAGGAAUCAAGGACAAGAAGGUUGUGGGUGAGAUACAGAGAACUGGGGGUUGUUUUACACAUCUUUGUGGCUACCGAGGUCCGUAAGCUCCACAGGUACCCCCUUUCCUCACGCUGCACUCUGUACCUCAGGCACAGCUCUGUUUUCUCAGCACUGGCGUCUUGGAGAUAAGAGCCUAUUAUUUCAACCAACUUCACUAAGUACCUAUAGUAGGCCAAAUAUCACGCUAACACUCUAACAUAAAGGCAUAUUUUGAGGUUGAUUUUCUGAUUCUAUCCAAGUUCCUUGCUGUUAGACAACAUAAGGAACUUUUUACAGACUUCUGAGGAAUGUCUCCCAAGCCUUGGACCUUCCAGGUACAGUGGAAGAAGAAUGGGACUCUUAUGCCAACUCUGCUGUAAACCUGCUUUGGACCAAAGCUAAAUCACAAAAAUAUUAAAGCUCUCAGCCUUCUCUCCUGUCAUGUGGAUUUAUUCUUUCAUCCCCUGCCUCUUUCAUAUGA